GGGGAGUGUCGCCAGCAGGAAGCCAUCCCUCGUAGUUCGAGCGCGGCCAGGAUCGGCCGGCCCUCCGUGACGUUACUCAUCUUCCAGGGAUCUCUAGUCUCCUCUCCUCCCCUCCCCUCCCUCUUACCCUCUUUCCUCUCUCCCUCUCCACCCCUCCUCCCUGUCCCCUCCCCCUCUCUCCCUCGAAUCCCUGUCUCUGCACAUCUCUCUCCAUCAGCUUUCUCCGGACCUUCGCCGCCAGCAGCAGCAGCAACAGCAGCAGCGGCACCUCGGCGGCCCAGGCAGCAGGCGAGGGGUAGCCAGCGGCUCCCCCCCCCCCCUCCCCGGGGCUCCCAUCCCCCCUCCUCCACCUCCUCCCGGCCCUGCCCUUCCCAGCUCUGCUUGAAGGGGAUCCCCCUUGUCUCUCUCUGCUCAGUCCCCCCCUGCAGCGCCCCAGGAUCCCAGCCCCCCUCCCUCCGCCAGCCCCCCUACAGAGCCGGAGGAACCGCGCGGCGGAGACAAGGAUGUGACUGCACCCGGCGGCGGAGGGUGCACUCGGCGGCGGCGGCGGUCGGAGUGAAGCUGCGGACGCCCGGGGCUCCCUCUCUCCUCUCUCGCCCUCUCUUCUCCCGCUUCCCCCGGUCCUCCCUCCGCGGCCCCCGGCCGUCCCACUGCCCCGGCCCCGCGCCCCCCGGCUCGCCGCCUCGGGGCUCCCCUCCCCUGCCCCGGACCGCCCCUCUCCGGCCGCCCGCCUGCUCCAGCGCUGACCCUGUCCGCCGGCGGGGAAGGAGGAGGAGGAGGCGGCACCGCCGAACCACCGGGCGAGAACAUGUCGGAAGUGCUGCCGUUUAACGAGGAAAAGCUGGGGCACUAUGGAGACGGGGGGGACGUGGGCCAGAUCUUCACGUGCCGCCUGCAGGAUACCAACAACUUCUUCGGGGCGGCUCAGAACAAGAGACCGCCCAAACUGGGCCAGAUCGGCAGGAGCAAGAGAGCUCUGACAAGGGCAGAGGCUUGAGGGCAGAAGAGGAAAGCUAAGGGAUAGCUGGAGUUGUUAUUGAAGAUGAUAGGAUUGAUGACGUGCUGAAAAAUAUGACAGACAAGGCACCUCCUGGUGUUUAAAGCCCCCAAAGACACUGAGUUAAGGGACAAAAAGAUGAUAAUAAACACAGCAACUUCACACAGUUUAUUGGCAAAAAAAAAAAAAAAAAAAAGCAAUUUGGAAAAAAAAAAAUCUUCAUUACUCUAGCCUGCAGUCCACAAUGCAGACACACCACCAACCUGUAUCUUGUGUCAGGCCUGGGGACGGAAGAGGUGUGAGCAUAGCAAGGACAGAAACAAAAACAAAGAGCAAAAAAAUUUUAAAAAAUUAUUCAACAGAUUAAUUGAUUUACACACACUCAUAAGGAAAUUGACAUCAGCUGCAGCUGUUUGUCUAAAUUAAUAUGCGUUUCCUUUUAUAUACAGCGAAUAUUGCGCAAUUCUAGACCUGGAUUUCCAGCCACUUUAAAUAAUGCAGCAGCAGGAGCAGCAGCAACCGCCUGCCCAGCAAAAUGCCUCUGGGUUCCUGGUGGGAGGGGGGGGGGGGCUGGCAUCCCCUUUGCUGAUCUGGCUGCCCUGAAAGUCAGCCCUUUGUUUACAUUAUUCCCAUCUGGCAAAAACGAUUCUGUGCACUUAGAUGUGAGAUGCUGUCCGUUUCAUUUUUACAGAAAUAUUCAUAUCUUUGAUGUGUGUAAAACAAAACAAACAAACAAAAAAAAACCAGAAAAAAAAACCCCAGAAUGACUUAUAUAUAAAUAUAUAGAUAGUUAUUCUAUUUCGUUUUCCCGCCACCUUGGAAGGUCUUCCUGGGUGGGAUGUGCGUGCGCUCCACUGAACAAAACCAACCCACUUUCCCUAAGGAUUGCCAUCUAGGAAGAGUUUUCUCCUGAUUUCAAUGUGCUGUGAAGCUUGUGUUCUCUGGACUGCUUGCAAGCAAUCCGGACUCGAGUUCACAUGGACGAAUUUGGUGGGGGGGGGGGGGGGAGGAGGAAGGGGGGAAAAAGCCUCCUCUCUGUUGUAUGAGCCCCCACCCCUGUUCUUUCCUCCUCCCGGUGUUGUGGCGAUUCAUCCUCUUCAAUGAAUGGAUUGUACAAAAUGUGAUCACGAGAGUGCCAAAUACCUGGAAAUGCCAAAAGGCAGUUUGGUUUGGUUCCCCCUUUUUGUGCUCCCUGAGCCCAUGUAAAGCAGUGCUUCGUUGGAGUCUCUCUUUUCUGGGUUAUUUAUCGGGCUUUCUCUUAAGGCAGAACCGCUCUCCUUUUUGCAUGAUGUUUGCAGAGAUGCCUCUUGUGCAGGGGCUGGGGGUGGGGGGGUCUUUUCACCAUUUUGUUUUCUUUCUUCUUUUGGGUUUGCAACUUUGGAUGACAAACCUCAAAGAGGUUUCUUUUGCCUUCCCUCCGGCUGCCCCCUUGCCCUUCCCUCUCUCCCUUUUCUUAAUUCAAUAUUGUGUAUAUGGUGCACUGUUAACCACUACACAGGGCUAUUUCUGCAAUGUACAAUAAAAGGGACUGUUCCUGUGUCUAACCUCUGUGUCUUAUUUCGGUGGUCUAUUGGAGCGGG
ensembl:lncRNA